rnacentral:rRNA from 1 species
UUGCACGCUGGCGGCAUGCCUUACACAUGCAAGUCGAACGGUAACGGGCCUUCGGGUGCCGACGAGUGGCGAACGGGUGAGUAAUACAUCGGAACGUGCCCGAUCGUGGGGGAUAACGAGGCGAAAGCUUUGCUAAUACCGCAUACGAUCUACGGAUGAAAGCAGGGGACCGCAAGGCCUUGCGCGGACGGAGCGGCCGAUGGCAGAUUAGGUAGUUGGUGGGAUAAAAGCUUACCAAGCCGACGAUCUGUAGCUGGUCUGAGAGGAUGAUCAGCCACACUGGGACUGAGACACGGCCCAGACUCCUACGGGAGGCAGCAGUGGGGAAUGUUGGACAAUGGGCGCAAGCCUGAUCCAGCCAUGCCGCGUGCAGGAUGAAGGACUUCGGGUUGUAAACUGCUUUUGUACGGAACGAAAAGCCUUCUUUUAAUACAGGAGGGUCAUGACGGUACCGUAAGAAUAAGCACCGGCUAACUACGUG